rnacentral:rRNA from 1 species
UAAAAAAAGGAAACAUCAAGUCUUCUCCAAGCAAAUCGUACUGUGAAACAGCGAAUGGCUCAUUAAAUCAGUUAUAGUUUAUUUGAUGGUACCUUACUACAUGGAUAACUGUGGUAAUUCUAGAGCUAAUACAUGCUGAAAAGCCCCGACUUCUGGGAGGGGUGUAUUUAUUAGAUAAAAAACCAAUGGCGGGUAACCGUCUUGCGUUGAUUCAUAAUAACUUCUCGAAUCGCAUGGCCUUGCGCCGGCGAUGCUUCAUUCAAAUAUCUGCCCUAUCAACUUUCGAUGGUAGGAUAGAGGCCUACCAUGGUUAUGACGGGUAACGGGGAAUAAGGGUUCGAUUCCGGAAAGAGGGCCUGAGAAACGGCCCUCAGUCCUAAGGGACGCAACAGGCGCGCAAAUUAUCCCAUCCCGACACGGGGAGAUAGUGACAAUAAAUAACAAUAUAGGGCUCUUUUGGGUCUUAUAAUUGGAAUGAGUACAAUUUAAAUCCCUUAACGAGGAUCAAUUGGAGGGCAAGUCUGGUGCCAGCAGCCGCGGUAAUUCCAGCUCCAAUAGCGUAUAUUAAAGUUGUUGCCGUUAAAAAGCUCGUAGUCGAACUUCGGCCUCUGCCACCCGGUCCGCCUAUUUGGGUGUGUACUGGAGUGGUGGAGGCUUACCUCGUGGUGAGCGGCCAUGUCCUUUACUGGGCGUGGUCGGGAACCAUGACAUUUACUUUGAAAAAAUUAGAGUGUUCAAAGCAGGCUUACGCCCGAAUACAUUAGCAUGGAAUAAUAAAAUAGGACGUGCGGUCCUAUUUUGUUGGUUUCUAGGAUCGCCGUAAUGAUUAAUAGGGAUAGUUGGGGGCAUUCGUAUUCAAUUGCUAGAGGUGAAAUUCUUGGAUUUAUUGAAGACGAACUACUGCGAAAGCAUUUGCCAAGGAUGUUUUCAUUGAUCAAGAACGAAGGUUAGGGGAUCGAAAACGAUCAGAUACCGUUGUAGUCUUAACAGUAAACGAUGCCGACUAGGGAUCGGACGAGGAUUUUUAAUGACUCGUUCGGCACCUGAAGAGAAAUCUUUAAGUCUAGGUUCGGGGGGGAGUAUGGUCGCAAGGCUGAAACUUAAAGGAAUUGACGGAAGGGCACCACCAGGUGUGGAGCCUGCGGCUUAAUUUGACUCAACACGGGGAAACUCACCAGGUCCAGACACGACAAGGAUUGACAGAUUGAUAGCUCUUUCUUGAUUUCGUGGUUGGUGGUGCAUGGCCCGUUCUUAGUUGGUGGAGUGAUUUGUCUGGUUAAUUCCGAUAACGAACGAGACCUUAACCUGCUAAAUAGCCCGGCCGACUUUGGUUGGUCGCUGGCUUCUUAGAGGGACUAUCUGCGUUUAGCAGAUGGAAGUUUGAGGCAAUAACAGGUCUGUGAUGCCCUUAGAUGUUCUGGGCCGCACGCGCGCUACACUGACCGAACCAGCGAGUUUAUCACCUUGGCCGGAAGGCCUGGGUAAUCUUGUGAAACUCGGUCGUGAUGGGGAUAGAGCAUUGCAAUUAUUGCUCUUCAACGAGGAAUACCUAGUAAGCGUGAGUCAUCAGCUCGCGUUGAAUUCGUCCCUGCCCUUUGUACACACCGCCCGUCGCUACUACCGAUUGAAAUGGCUUAGUGAGGUAUCCGGAUUGGCAUCUGGGAGCCGGCAACGGCACCUAGUCGCUGAGAAGUUUAACGAACUUGGUCAUUUAGAGGAAGUAAAGUCGUAACAAGGUUUCCGUAGGUGAACCUGCGGAAGGAUCAUUAAUGAAAUGUUAGACGCUGUUUUUACAAGUUCGACCCUUUUAUUACCUUUCACACUGUGCACAUCACUACUUUUUUACACCCAUUUUUUAAACACUUAUAAGUCAUUAGAUGUAAACAGUCUCUUAUUGAGCAUAACUAUAACAAACUUUCGGCAACGGAUCUCUUGGC